UUUAUUCUGCAACUUAUACGAGAAAUUUAUUUGUAUCUCGACUCCGCGUUAUUGUGUCACUAUGACAACAACAAUUUACAGCCUUCUCGUCAUCAACUAGUCCGGUGGCCUUAUAUACUACAAAAGGACUAUGGUUCGGCCGGGAGAAUGGACACCAACGGCAAUCUACAAUUUACAAGCCACUCACAUUUGAUGCAUGAUGUCUUGCGUCAGUUGUCCCCUACCACUGGUUGUAAUGGCAUUAACAUCCUACAGGCCUGCAGCUUCAACCUACAUUGCUUCCAUUCUCCCAUAGCAAUAUUAUCAAAGCAUCUUCUAUGAAGGGAUUGCUAUUAAUUUCGGCCUUAUAGAGGCUCAGGAACAGAAAGGUUUCGUCUUUGGCAUCCAUGGUGGCGGCAGCGCGACCGUAUGGACCACGUAGAGCUGAUGUUGCCAGCCGAUAAGCCGUAGCCCUUGGACCCUCACCAACCCCGCUGUCCUCGGGCCCUGGACUGUCUGCGAGAAUUAGGAGUUCAAUCGUAAACCAGGUGAUAGAAGACAUCUUAAAAACUGAUUCGUGGUACCCGUACCCAGACAUUUGGAAGGGAUAAAGCAAAAUAGUUAAAUUACCCGAGCCACAUGGAAAUUGAACUUGUCAUGUCAACAAUUCUGGUGGACGGGGGUCUGUCUUUGGGUAUCAAGAUGGAGAGAAGCUUUGUUCAACGUGUGUGAGAGGACUUGACAAUAUUCAGGGUGUGCUCCAAGCUGAGAUUAGGGCAGCAAGGAAGGCUAUUAGCAUCGGAAUUAACCUAGGAGACCUAUUUCUAACGGUUACAUUGUUGGGAGAUGCACGAUGUCCUUUGGAAGAUCCUCCUUCCAAUAACCAAGCUAGAGAAGUUCAGUGUGGAACCAUGUCCAUGAUGUCACUUGCCCCUCGGCUUUGCCUACUUCCGGCUUCGCCUCUGUCCUGGUUGCACGGUAUAGCUAUUUAUAUGGAACAUGGACGGCCGAAUAUACUUUUAUACUAGGCCAAGUAGCAAACGAGAAGCAUAUAAUCCAACGUCUGAAUUAUGUAGGUAAAGGAAGACUUGGACAUGGAACACUUUCUGAAUGUUUGCAUUUGUCCCAUGUACUUGUUAAUUGUUGUUGGCGUCAAGGGUGUGUUGGGUGCUCAAGGCCAAGUGAACCUGCUGCAAGAUGUAAAUGAUCACGUAUAGAAGCAGCAACUCUGGUCUUAGCCACAGAACUCCGCUGGUGAGCCCCGGUCCACCUGGAGCUGCUGCUGGCAUCUUGUGACUACCACGUCCCCGAGCAAUUGCUAUGAGUAACUGAAAAAGUUGGAAGUAUGAAAGGUUUCGGUAGACCGAAGAUAAGAAAUUUGAGCGUGACCAUCUUCAUUGGCAUCUCGAGGCAGAGGUAAUUUUCGUACCAAAAUUCCGACCCCUGUUAGGAGCAUUCUAGGCAUACUGUUUUUCAUGGUCAGAUCUAAAUUCAUGUUAUUUACUUUCAACAGUGCGAUUAUAAGAAUGCCAAGAAGGAGCAGGUGUCAAGCUGCUCACCUAGAAAUGCAUCUUCUAGGGUCUUCUCAGGAGGCACGCCAAGUGGAAUGCCUGGCUUCGCUGGAGGAAUGGAUGGAUGGUGGUAUGCCUCGGGAAUGGCUGGUGGUAUGCGUGGAUCUGGAGGAGCUCCCGGUCCCGAUGUCUACAUUUGGUAUGUUCUAUUUGACUCUUGCUCGGAGAUGUAAGUUCUAUUUUGUAUUAAAGACUCCUUUUGAAAUUACAUUUUUCUAGUUGAUGCAUACUUUUUCUAGAUGCAUCAUUUGCUUGUGUCAAACAAUUAAGAAUAUAACCAAAAAUUACUGUUUGCCCUUUAGGUUCCUGAUAUGC